AGUAAAGUGCCUGAUAAAAGGAUUAUUUUGAUAGAAUAAAAAAUGUAAUAAAUUUUAUUACCUUUAUUAUA
rnacentral:tRNA from 1 species